rnacentral:misc_RNA from 1 species
AAAGUGCGAAAAGUAAUGCGACACGCAUACCACUGCGAGGCAUCCAGUAUUUGAACGCAAAUGGCGCACGAGUGUGAUAUUCUCGUGCAUGAGCGGUUGAGGGUCGAGUAUGACUUCACAUAUGCAUAUGUGGAUGUGUCCCCGUGAUGGGGAUUGAAAUGAGGUGGGGUGUGGUGUGUGAUGGAGUGUUCAUCCCGAGGACAGGGGGAUAUGAUGUUCUCAGUUCAGGGUGAGCAUGUGGGAUGGCAUAUGUGUCAUCUCAAAUCAUACAUCACCUCCCAGACACACCAACUUGGACAUUCGGCUGACGCUGGAUAGCAUCUAUUCGGCAUACGCCAAGUGUCCAAAUACCAAUCGACCUCAGUCGCUCAGGACUACCCGCUGAACUUAA